rnacentral:lncRNA from 1 species
AGCAAUUUGUAUUUCAAGUUAUGAUUUAUUAGAUUUUGACUAAAUUAAGUGAAGGAAUAUUAAUCAUGAGAUAUUAUCGUGCAAUGUAAUUAUUUUGGAAGUUUAACUUGAUAUCAGGCACUGUGGAUAUUGCUUCUAGUUGAAGUUAAUUAUUUUGGUGGCAAAUUAAGAUUCAUCUAUAAAAAGAUGUUUAAAGCUUGGACUAGAAAAUAUUUAUU